UGGGGAAUCUUGCGCAAUGGGCGAAAGCCUGACGCAGCGACGCCGCGUGAGGGAGGAAGGCCUUCGGGUUGUAAACCUCUUUCAGGAGGGACGAAGCUACUCGGGUGAAUAGCCCAGAGGGUGACGGUACCUCCAGAAGAAGCCCCGGCUAACUACGUGCCAGCAGCCGCGGUAAUACGUAGGGGGCAAGCGUUGUCCGGAUUUACUGGGCGUAAAGCGCGUGUAGGCGGCCACGCAGGUCCGUUGUGAAAACUGGAGGCUCAACUUCCAGACGUCGACGGAAACCGUGUGGCUAGAGUCCGGAAGAGGAGAGUGGAAUUCCUGGUGUAGCGGUGAAAUGCACAGAUAUCAGGAAGAACACCAAUGGCGAAGGCAGCUCUCUGGGACGGUACUGACGCUGAGACGCGAAAGCGUGGGGAGCGAACAGGAUUAGAUACCCUGGUAGUCCACGCCGUAAACGAUGGGUGCUAGGUGUGGGAGGUGUCGACUCCUUCCGUGCCGUAGCUAACGCGUUAAGCACCCCGCCUGGGGAGUACGGCCGCAAGGCUAA
rnacentral:rRNA from 1 species